rnacentral:rRNA from 1 species
CACGGGGGGAGCAAGCGUUGUUCGGAAUCACUGGGCGUAAAGGGCGUGUAGGCGGUUCGGUAAGUGGAAUGUGAAAUCCCUCGGCUCACCCGAGGACCUGCAUCCCAAACUGCCGAGCUUGAGUAUGGGAGAGGAUGAGGGAAUUCCUGGUGUAGCGGUGAAAUGCGUAGAUAUCCGGAGGAACACCGGUGGCGAAGGCGGCUUCCUGGACCGACACUGACGCUGAGGCGCGAAAGCUAGGGGAGCAAACGGG